GCUGUGUACAACAGGGAAGGGGAGGGGCAGCGGAACCCCGGCCCUCCAACAGGCCCGGUUAAAGAGCACCUGCCCCCCCCCUCUCGGCACCACAGGUCACACAUCUGGGAAGCCUAGAUCUUCAUAUAUUACCUCAGAUCAAAUAAGGAUGGAAAUUACAAUACAAGUCUUAGAGUACAUUUCACGAAUGAGAAAGUCAGAGCUGAUUGGGAAGAGCGGGUCUCCAUUUCAGCUGAUGCUUCAGGCAGCAAAAAGGCUAGACACCCUGUUUACAGUGAUCUCCUGAUGGACAACUAGAUUGUCUGUUAACUCCUAUUAACUCCCCAAUGUAUUUGUAUGUACAUUCCAUCAGAUUAUUCAUGCAGUAUAACAAUAGCCUACAAUAUCUAAUUUAGGAAGCAGACAUAAAUAUUCACUAAAUGAUUCCUGAAUAUCUUCAUUCUUCCAUGGGGACUGCUGGCUUCUUACAAGGACAAGAUAGCAACCUAACAAACUAAAAUAUUUCUCUAUGAAGAAGACAUUGAGACACACUGUUAUCAGUAUUUCCUCUUGGGAUACAGCAAAGCAAAGUGGAUAAUACCAUUUAAGUGACAAUGUAUCAACAGAAAUCAGUAAGACAGCAGUGGAAGUCAAGACUAUUACUUGUGCCAAAGGAAAUCACUGUUAUGAUUCAUUCAGAGAGUAUAUGUUUUUCUUUUCUUUCCAUGUGACGAAUAAUACAUGACUUAUACCAGAUCUAAUAAAUUAUAUAGCAUUACAAUAUAC